UGAACGCUGGCGGCAUGCUUUCCACAUGCAAGUCGAACGGCAGCGCGGGCUUCGGCCUGGCGGCGAGUGGCGAACGGGUGAGUAAUACAUCGGAACGUGCCCAGUAGUGGGGGCUAGCUCGGCCAAAGCCGGAUUAAUACCGCAUACGACCUGAGGGUGAAAGCGGGGGAUCUUCGGACCUCGCGCUAUUGGAGCGGCCGAUGGCAGAUUAGCUUGUUGGUGGGGUAAAGGCCUACCAAGGCGACGAUCUGUAGCUGGUCUGAGAGGACGACCAGCCACACUGGGACUGAGACACGGCCCAGACUCCUACGGGAGGCAGCAGUGGGGAAUUUUGGACAAUGGGCGAAAGCCUGAUCCAGCAAUGCCGCGUGUGUGAUGAAGGCCUUCGGGUUGUAAAGCACUUUUGGCGGGAACGAAAAGGACUGUGCCAAUACCACGGUUCGAUGACGGUACCCGCAGAAUAAGCACCGGCUAACUACGUG
rnacentral:rRNA from 1 species